AGUGACCCUGGCUGGGAAGCAGGGAGGCCUGGAUAUUGUUUCUCCUGGCUCUGUGUCUUGCCAUUCUCGUCCCUGUGCUCAGAGCUCUCAAGCACCCACGAUGGCCUUCUCAGGCCGAGCGCGCCCCUGCGUUAUCCCAGAGAACGAAGAAAUCCCCCGAGCAGCCCUUAACAGUGUCCACGAGGCCAAUGGGACCGAGGACGAGAGGGCUGUUUCCAAACUGCAGCGCAGGCACAGUGACGUGAAAGUCUACAAGGAGUUCUGUGACUUUUAUGCGAAAUUCAACAUGGCCAACACCCUGGCCAGCGCCACUUGCGAGCGCUGCAAGGGCGGCUUUGCGCCCUCUGAGAAGAUCGUGAACAGUAAUGGGGAGCUGUACCAUGAGCAGUGUUUCGUGUGCGCUCAGUGCUUCCAGCAGUUCCCAGAAGGACUCUUCUAUGAGUUUGAAAGAAGAAAGUACUGUGAACAUGACUUUCAGAUGCUCUUUGCCCCUUGCUGUCAUCAGUGUGGUGAAUUCAUCAUUGGCCGAGUUAUCAAAGCCAUGAAUAACAGCUGGCAUCCGGAGUGCUUCCGCUGUGACCUCUGCCAGGAAGUUCUGGCAGAUAUCGGGUUUGUCAAGAAUGCUGGGAGACACCUGUGUCGCCCCUGUCAUAAUCGUGAGAAAGCCAGAGGCCUUGGGAAAUACAUCUGCCAGAAAUGCCAUGCUAUCAUCGAUGAGCAGCCUCUGAUAUUCAAGAACGACCCCUACCAUCCAGACCAUUUCAACUGCGCCAACUGCGGGAAGGAGCUGACUGCCGAUGCACGGGAGCUGAAAGGGGAGCUAUACUGCCUGCCAUGCCAUGAUAAAAUGGGGGUCCCCAUCUGUGGCGCUUGCCGACGGCCCAUCGAAGGGCGCGUGGUGAACGCCAUGGGCAAGCAGUGGCAUGUGGAGCAUUUUGUUUGUGCCAAGUGUGAGAAACCCUUUCUUGGACAUCGCCAUUAUGAGAGGAAAGGCCUGGCGUAUUGUGAAACUCACUAUAACCAGCUAUUUGGUGAUGUUUGCUUCCACUGCAAUCGUGUUAUAGAAGGUGACGUGGUCUCUGCUCUUAAUAAGGCCUGGUGCGUGAACUGCUUUGCCUGUUCUACCUGCAACACUAAAUUAACACUCAAAUGGUGCGCUCCUGGAGGGCAGGGACCAUACCAUGUCUGUCUUUUUCACUGCAGCACCCAAGCUGAACUCAGGCCCUGGAACAAGAACUCUGGAGGUGGCUGUCCAUGCUGACCCAGGCUGUCCCCAUAGCCAUCAGCCAGCACCUGUCCUGCUGUCCCAGAGUCUCAGUAGCUGACUUCUGUCCUCAAUGCUGUCUCUGGACCCCAGAGGGCUGUGCUUCAGAGAUAGGAAGAGGAGAGAAGGAAGGACCAAGACCUGCUCAGCUGUACCUUCUGCCAGAAAGUGGGCCUGCUGUGCACGCUUCAGGGUAAGCUGCAGCCCCAGGACUGGACGUUGUUGGACGAACUGCUGCAGGGCCUGCAAACACUGCUGCUCAUGAUUUUGUGGCAGGCCUCCCAUGGCCUCCUCCUGCGCUACCAUGUGGAGGCCCUAACCCUGCGUCGCAUCAAUAGCUUCCGCCAGUACAAGUAUGACCUGGUGGCAGUGGGCAAGGCUUUGGAGGGCAUGUUCUGCAAGCUCAACCACCUCCUGGAACACCUGCACCAGCUGUUCUUCCUCUACCUGCUCCCCACUCUGUCCCGCUUCGUCUCCAUCGGCCUCUACAUGCCCGCCACCAGCUUCUUGCUCCUGGUCCUUGGUUUCAAGGCUCUGCAACUGUGGAUGCAGCUGCAUGAGGCCGGAGUGGGCCUUGAGGAGCUCAGGGGGGCCCCUGACCCUAGUGUCCCCCCUCCCCCAGCACAGGGUGGUAAGCACACAGGUCCCAGACAGGAGCUGGAUGGCUCUGAAGCUGGUAGCCCUGAUCUACCUAGUACUGCAGCUGGGCUGCAUCGCCCUCACCAACUUCUGACUGGACUUCCUGCUGGCCGCCACUAUGGUGCUGCUGCUGUGCUCGCCGAGCCUUUGGGCCCUGGACCCUCUAUGCUGCCCUGCUGGUGUUGACAAGCCCGGCAGCCACGCUCCUUGGCAGCCCAUUCCUGUGGUGGGAGCUGCAGGAGGCACCACUGUCACUGGCCGAGGGCUGGCAGCUCUUCCUGGCAGCACUGGCCCAGGGUGUGCUGGAGCACCACACCUAAGGCGCCCUGCUCUUCCCACUGCUGUCCCUGGGCCUCUACCCUUGCUGACUACUUUUCUGGAAUGUGCUCUUCUGGAAGUGAGAUCUGCCUGUCCAGGGCACCAGGCUGGGACAGAGACUCCCCAAGGACCCCAUUCUGCCUCCUUCUGGGGAAAUAAACAAGUGCCUGUUUCAGCUGCUUAAAAAAAAAAUACAAAAAAAAAAAUGCCCUGGAAAAUACUGUGUUAGCAAAAAGAUUUAAAGAUUGGUAUAAUUCUGA